AGUAGUGUGGUGUAGUGGUUUGAGUGUUGGACUACCACUCUGGAGACUAGGGUUCGAUUCCCGGCUUGCCCA